rnacentral:misc_RNA from 1 species
UGGUUCUGGCAUCGAUGAAGAACGCAGCGAAAUGCGAUAAGUAAUGUGAAUUGCAGAAUUCAGUGAAUCAUCGAAUCUUUGAACGCACAUUGCGCCCGCCAGUAUUCUGGCGGGCACGCCUGUCCGAGCGUCAUUUCAACCCCUCAGGCCCUGCCUGGUGUUGGGGCCACGCGGCUGCCGCGGGCCCCCAAAAGAAGUGGCGGCUCCUCAACAGAACCGAGCGAAGUAACUACUCUAGCUUAGGGUCUUGUGAGGUGCCGGCCGUUAAAGCCAACAGCGGCAUCGCCGCGCUAUGUUGACCUCGGAUCAGGUGGGAAUACCCGCUGA